GGUUGUCAGGACCUGGAGCCCGUCCAGUGCAAUCCUGACGUCCUGGCUGUUUCCCGGCAGUUUCCCGCUUUCUCUAGAACUCCAGGCAGAUGCAUACUGCCUGCAUGCUGGUUGUAGAAAGAAAAGACCCAUAAGAAAACAGCAUCUAAGAACUUAACAUGACACUGACAUCUCUAGACUUUUAGCCGCGGGCCACCCCUGCUCCUGAGGUCCACAGCAGUGCUUUCAUGCACUUGCCUUAUGCAGAUGAUGAGGCACACUCCAGGGGGCUGCAUGGACUGACAUUCUGCAGAGGUGGGCAACCAGAAUGUCAGGAGAAAGUUGCUAAUGUGGUAAUGGAAUUUGAGCCGGGAAUCAGAGGAAACCCAACAGCCACAGCUGGAAGAU